UAUAAAUAUGAGUGUUACUCGGUCUCACCGCUCAUAUAUUUUUCUUGUUCGCAAGGUAAUCGAAGAUGAGAAUCAUCUGGAAAUUUUGGAGUAAUCUUGAGUAUAUUAGAGUUACUCCCAAGCAUAAGAGUAACCCAGAUGAAAGCUGUUGUUCUUUCGGAUUUUGCAAUGAAAAGUUUACUGAAGGUUAUGAGUUUCUGGAUGAUGACAAUAUCAUAAAAUAUCAAUUUAAUAACCAUCAUAUUGACUCCCUCGCAUAGGUCGUGCAUAGGAUCCAUUGAUGUAAUUUUGUCGUAAUUGAAAAAUGAAAGACUAUGCAGGCAGCACUCUUCCAUCACACCGCAUUCAGAAGGAAAUCAAAACCGGAACGACCAUUGCGUAAGUCCAGUCCUCCCGAUUUAUGUAACAAUCGCGGCAGAAUAGUUUCGACUGUGUGUAAUAGAUAAGUGCUGGAACGAGAAAACAUUAAACAAAAUAUUAUUCCAAUUAAAUUUA